GGGCAAUUGGCUCAGUGGUUAGAGCGCUUCCUUGACAUGGAAGAGGUCAUAGGUUCGAUUCCUAUAUUGCCCA
rnacentral:tRNA from 1 species